rnacentral:rRNA from 1 species
GAUGAACGCUAGCUACAGGCUUAACACAUGCAAGUCGCGGGGCAGCAUGGGGGUUGCUUGCAAUCCCCGAUGGCGACCGGCGCACGGGUGAGUAACGCGUAUCCAACCUGCCCUUCACCACGGGAUAACCCGGCGAAAGUCGGACUAAUACCGUAUGUUGUCCAUUGACGGCAUCCGAUUUGGACGAAAGGGUUGGCGGUGAAGGAUGGGGAUGCGUCCGAUUAGCUGGACGGCGGGGUGACGGCCCACCGUGGCGACGAUCGGUAGGGGUUCUGAGAGGAAGGUCCCCCACACUGGAACUGAGACACGGUCCAGACUCCUACGGGAGGCAGCAGUGAGGAAUAUUGGUCAAUGGGCGUAAGCCUGAACCAGCCAAGUAGCGUGCAGGAUGACGGCCCUAUGGGUUGUAAACUGCUUUUAUGCGGGGAUAAAGUGGCCCACGUGUGGGUUUUUGAAGGUACCGCAUGAAUAAGGACCGGCUAAUUCCGUG